CCUACGGGAGGCAGCAGUGAGGAAUAUUGGUCAAUGGACGCAAGUCUGAACCAGCCAUGCCGCGUGCAGGAAGACGGCUCUAUGAGUUGUAAACUGCUUUUGUACGAGGGUAAAUCCCGAUACGUGUAUCGGGUUGAAAGUAUCGUACGAAUAAGGAUCGGCUAACUCCGUGCCAGCAGCCGCGGUAAUACGGAGGAUCCAAGCGUUAUCCGGAUUUAUUGGGUUUAAAGGGUGCGUAGGCGGAUUGAUAAGUUAGAGGUGAAAUGUCCGGGCUCAACUCGGGAACUGCCUCUAAUACUGUUGAUCUAGAGAGUAGAUGCGGUAGGCGGAAUGUAUGGUGUAGCAGUGAAAUGCUUAGAGAUCAUACAGAACACCGAUUGCGAAGGCAGCUUACCAAUCUAUAUCUGACGUUGAGGCACGAAAGCGUGGGGAGCAAACAGGAUUAGAUACCCUUGUAGUC
rnacentral:rRNA from 1 species